UACAGGGGGGGGCAAGCGUUGUUCGGAAUUACUGGGCGUAAAGGGCUCGUAGGCGGCCAACUAAGUCACACGUGAAAUCCCCCAGGCUUAACCUGGGAACUGCGUGUGAUACUGGAUGGCUUGAAUUCGGGAGAGGGAUGCAGAAUUCCAGGUGUAGCGGUGAAAUGCGUAGAUAUCUGGAGGAACACCAAUGGCGAAGGCAGCUCGCUGGAACGGUACUGACGCUGAGGCGCGAAAGCGUGGGGAGCAAACAGG
rnacentral:rRNA from 1 species